rnacentral:lncRNA from 1 species
GAAACUGUAGAUCACGAAUAAAGAAACGUGACAGAAGAAUAUACAAAGAUGCAUAUGCACGCAUUUCCUGGUGCAAAGAAUGAGAAGUUUGGAAAAAGCUAAAUGAAACAAAGGUUAAAGGUAGGUCGAGUAUAGCUGGCUGCUGAAUGCUGAAUGACAUAUCUGGAUUUUUAUGUUAGUAGAAAGGAAGGUGAAGAAGAUACAAAGAAAAAAUCACAAAUAGAAUACUAUGAAGACAGAACAUGUCGAAGAAACUGACAAAAGAAACACAACCAGUCAGCUAAACUUUCCACUUUUGUUGUUUUGUUGACUAAUGUUGCUUUUCAUAUGCCUCCAAUAAUGUUCAUCAUCAUCAUCAUCAUCAAAAUAUCUGAUUCGUCACUCUCCCUCUAUGCUAUGAUCCAUAUCUAGGUUUAUGAGCACACAACAAGAACUUUUCAUCAUGCAUGGGUGAAAAUAUACAUACACAUGUACAUAUAUGUAUGCAUAUAUGGGUUGAGAGAUUCAGUAUAUAACAACACAAUGAGAAUCCAAUCAUGCAUAUAUAACAAGUAUACGUAAGAAUCUGAUUGUGAAGCCGACAUGGUUCAAGGAAAUGUGGAAAAAACCAAAAACAUUGAAAAGAGACAGAAUAUGAUGAACAUUAUACACAUUAAUGUGAGCCCACCUCUUCAACCUUCUUAAU